GAUGAACGCUAGCGGCAGGCUUAACACAUGCAAGUCGAGGGGUAUAGUAGCAAUACUAGAGACCGGCGCACGGGUGCGUAACGCGUAUGCAACCUACCUUUUACAGAGGGAUAGCCCAGAGAAAUUUGGAUUAAUACCUCAUAGUGUUAUUAGAUGGCAUCAUUUGAUAACUAAAGUUCCAACGGUAAAAGAUGGGCAUGCGUCCUAUUAGCUAGAUGGUAAGGUAACGGCUUACCAUGGCUACGAUAGGUAGGGGUCCUGAGAGGGAGAUCCCCACACUGGUACUGAGACACGGACCAGGCUCCUACGGGAGGCAGCAGUGAGGAAUAUUGGACAAUGGGCGCAAGACCUGAUCCAGCCAUGCCGCGUGCAGGAUGACGGUCCUAUGG
rnacentral:rRNA from 1 species